rnacentral:rRNA from 1 species
CCCUUAGAUGUUCUGGGCUGCACGCGCGCUACACUGAUGCACUCAACGAGUUUACGACCUUGCCCGAUAGGGUUGGGUAAUCUUUUUAAAAUGCAUCGUGAUGGGGAUAGAUUAUUGCAAUUAUUAAUCUUCAACGAGGAAUUCCUAGUAAACGCAAAUCAUCAAUUUGCAUUGAUUACGUCCCUGCCCUUUGUACACACCGCCCGUCGCACCUACCGAUUGAAUGGUCCGGUGAAAUCUCGGGAUUGUGGCCAGUUCACUUUAUUGGGAGUUGGCUGCGAGAACUUGCUUAAACCUUAUCAUUUAGAGGAAGGUGAAGUCGUAACA